rnacentral:rRNA from 1 species
CCUACGGGAGGCAGCAGUGAGGAAUAUUGGUCAAUGGGCUUACGCCUGAACCAGCCAAGUCGCGUGAGGGAAGACUGCCCUAUGGGUUGUAAACCUCUUUUGUCAGGGAGCAAUUGGCGCUACGUGUAGCGUUAUCGAGAGUACCUGAAGAAAAAGCAUCGGCUAACUCCGUGCCAGCAGCCGCGGUAAUACGGAGGAUGCGAGCGUUAUCCGGAUUUAUUGGGUUUAAAGGGUGCGUAGGCGGAAUGCCAAGUCAGCGGUAAAAUCGCGGGGCUCAACCUCGCUCCGCCGUUGAAACUGGCGGUCUUGAGUGGGCGAGAAGUAGGCGGAAUGCGUGGUGUAGCGGUGAAAUGCAUAGAUAUCACGCAGAACUCCGAUUGCGAAGGCAGCAUACCGGCGCCCAACUGACGCUGAAGCACGAAAGCGUGGGUAUCGAACAGGAUUAGAUACCCCGGUAGUC